rnacentral:tRNA from 1 species
ACCCUUUUAGUAUAAUUAAUACAAUUGACUUCCAAUCAAUUAAUCUUGGCCCUAUCCAAGAAAGAGUAA